UACGUAGGGGGCAAGCGUUGUCCGGAUUUAUUGGGCGUAAAGAGCGCGUAGGCGGCCCGGUAAGUCCGAUGUAAAAGUCCAGGGCUCAACCCUGGAACGCCGGUGGAUACUGUCGGGCUAGAGUCCGGAAGAGGCGAGUGGAAUUCCUGGUGUAGCGGUGGAAUGCGCAGAUAUCAGGAGGAACACCCGUGGCUAAGGCGGCUCUCUAGUACGGUACUGACGCUGAGACGCGAAAGCGUGGGGAGCGAACAGG
rnacentral:rRNA from 1 species